rnacentral:rRNA from 1 species
CACGUAGGGCGCAAGCGUUUGUCCGGAAUUAUUGGGCGUAAAGAGCUCGUAGGCGGUCUGUUGCGUCUGCUGUGAAAACUCGGGGCUUAACCCCGAGCCUGCAGUGGAUACGGGCAGACUAGAGGUAGGUAGGGGAGAACGGAAUUCCUGGUGUAGCGGUGAAAUGCGCAGAUAUCAGGAGGAACACCGGUGGCGAAGGCGGCACUCUGGGCCGAUUCUGACACUGAGGAGCGAAAGCGUGGGGAGCGAACAGG